rnacentral:rRNA from 1 species
UAGGGAGCGUAGGUGGACAGUUAAGUCAGUUGUGAAAGUUUGCGGCUCAACCGUAAAAUUGCAGUUGAUACUGGCUGUCUUGAGUACAGUAGAGGUGGGCGGAAUUCGUGGUGUAGCGGUGAAAUGCUUAGAUAUCACGAAGAACUCCGAUUGCGAAGGCAGCUCACUGGACUGCAACUGACACUGAUGCUCGAAAGUGUGGGUAUCAAACAGA